rnacentral:rRNA from 1 species
UGGGGAAUAUUGCACAAUGGGCGCAAGCCUGAUGCAGCCAUGCCGCGUGUGUGAAGAAGGCCUUCGGGUUGUAAAGCACUUUCAGCGAGGAGGAAGGUGGUGAACUUAAUACGUUCAUCAAUUGACGUUACUCGCAGAAGAAGCACCGGCUAACUCCGUGCCAGCAGCCGCGGUAAUACGGAGGGUGCAAGCGUUAAUCGGAAUUACUGGGCGUAAAGCGCACGCAGGCGGUUUGUUAAGUCAGAUGUGAAAUCCCCGGGCUCAACCUGGGAACUGCAUUUGAAACUGGCAAGCUAGAGUCUCGUAGAGGGGGGUAGAAUUCCAGGUGUAGCGGUGAAAUGCGUAGAGAUCUGGAGGAAUACCGGUGGCGAAGGCGGCCCCCUGGANGAAGACUGACGCUCAGGUGCGAAAGCGUGGGGAGCAAACAGAUUAGAUACCCUGGUAGUCCACGCUGUAAACGAUGUCGAUUUUGGAGGUUGUGCCCCU